AUUUGAAAUCUGGCCCCCCGGGUCCGAGUUGUAAUUUGUAGAGGAUGCUUUUGGCGAGGUGCCUUCCGAGUUCCCUGGAACGGGACGCCAUAGAGGGUGAGAGCCCCGUCUGGUCGGACACCGAGCCUCUGUAAAGCUCCUUCGACGAGUCGAGUAGUUUGGGAAUGCUGCUCAAAAUGGGAGGUAUAUGUCUUCUAAAGCUAAAUAUUGGCCAGAGACCGAUAGCGCACAAGUAGAGUGAUCGAAAGAUGAAAAGCACUUUGAAAAGAGGGUUAAAAAGUACGUGAAAUUGUUGAAAGGGAAGCGCCUAUGACCAGACUUGGGCCCGGUGAAUCAUCCAGCGUUCUCGCUGGUGCACUUUGCCGGGCACAGGCCAGCAUCAGUUUGGCGCGGGGGAUAAAGGCUUUGGGAAUGUGGCUCCCUCGGGAGUGUUAUAGCCCACUGCGCAAUACCCUGCGCCGGACUGAGGUACGCGCAUCGCAAGGAUGCUGGCGUAAUGGUCAUUAGCGACCCGUCUUGAAACACGGACCAAGGAGUCGUCUUCGUAUGCGAGUGUUCGGGUGUCAAACCCCUACGCGUAAUGAAAGUGAACGCAGGUGAGAGCUUCGGCGCAUCAUCGACCGAUCCUGAUGUUCUCGGAUGGAUUUGAGUAAGAGCAUACGGGGCCGGACCCGAAAGAAGGUGAACUAUGCCUGUAUAGGGUGAAGCCAGAGGAAACUCUGGUGGAGGCUCGCAGCGGUUCUGACGUGCG
rnacentral:rRNA from 1 species